GUCUGCUCCAUCAGGAGGAGUUCAUCUUGUGAGCCCAGACAGGAUCCAUCUGCUAUCUUCCUACCCUUCCUCCCCACAAGUGCCUUGCCUCAUUAGUCACGGGCCGUGGCCAGCCACACUGCAAAAGUUCAGUCUGCCAAACAGUGUCAAAUGGAGAUAAAAAUGACAAGGACAGAAAAAUAAAGGAAUCAUGCAGAACGAAAAGCCUCAUUUAUCAGGACAGAAAACCCAGUUCUCCGAAGACUGGUGUUAUCCCAUUUAUAAGCUAGUUCACAUUCUUAAGCACCGACAGGUCAUUUUCUCGGAUACUAUCUGAAGACUCUUCUCUUAAUCUUGACAUAAAUUUUUAUGGGUGUUUAACCUGUGCCAAGACUGUAACAUUUAAAUCAGUGGAGGUUUUUUUUAUUUUCAUCCCCCUCUUGUACUACUUUUACAAGGAGUACAUUAAAGCAUGUCACACAUUCCUUAUGUGAGAGGGAGAAAAGAAAGUUUAUGAGAACAUAUGUAUAUUCAAAAAGCAAUUGAUUGCUAUUAAAACAGUUAAAGUAUGUUCACGUAGAUGUGGAAUUCAUAGUAAGUGGACUGCAUAGCCUAACUGCUUCACCAGAUAGAUCGUUUUAUUGUUGUUGUUAUACAAUUUUUUUUUCUGAUUUCAAA